rnacentral:misc_RNA from 1 species
ACCCUCAAAGAAGCCAAGGCUGGGGAUAUCAACAUGCAGGUUUUGGUUGGUCAAAUGUAUUAUAGCGGAUAUGGAAUACCUAGAGAUGCUCAAAAGGGAAGAAUUUGGAUGACAAGAGCAUCAAGGAUUCGGUCUUCAGUUUGGAAAGUUAGCGAUAAGCAUCCAGGUUAUAAUGCAAGUGAUUCAGACUCAGAUGAGUUGAAGGGUGAUUCUUAAUAAUACCAAAUUGGUUUCAUGACCAAAACAAUUACAAUGGAUGAUGUUGUUGCUGUUCCUCCCCGGGAUUUAUAUGUUUGUGACAAUCUCUAUUCUUUUUCCCUGCUCCUCUUUUCCACACCCUUUAUCUGAUUUAGUUUCCCUCAGGUGUAUGUGUUCAUGCUGUUUAAUAUGUUGAUAUGAAUGGUUAAUUGCACUUUCAAGACAAUCUUUGUGAGUUAAAUAUUGGAUUUUAUUUUCUUUUUUUUUCCAAAAGUUGUGAUAUAUAAUCUUAUAAUCCGG